UCAUGUACUAAUAUCUGAUAAGGUAGUCUGCUCUUGCAGAUCAUAUGGUUGAUCAUUUUCCCAUACAAGUGUUACUAAACUCUACUAAGUUCUAUAACGACACAAGAUUAACUUGUUACAGGACAAGUGUACCGAGUAAUAGCAGCAAAGAAAGAGAGUCAUGUACUAAUAUCUGAUAAGGUAGUCUGCUCUUGCAGAUCAUCUGGUCGAUCAUUUUCCCAUACAAGUGUUACUACACUCUACAUUUGCAUAGAGUAAUAACACAAGAUUAACUUGUUACAGGACAAGUGUACAGAGUAAUGAGUAUG
rnacentral:lncRNA from 1 species